CAGUCGCCGCGGGAAUACGAAGGGGGCUAGCGUUGCUCGGAAUGACUGGGCGUAAAGGGCGCGUAGGCGGAUCACGCAGUCAGAUGUGAAAUUCCUGGGCUUAACCUGGGGGCUGCAUUUGAGACGCGUGGUCUAGAGUGUGAAAGAGGGUCGUGGAAUUCCCAGUGUAGAGGUGAAAUUCGUAGAUAUUGGGAAGAACACCGGUGGCGAAGGCGGCGACCUGGUUCAUGACUGACGCUGAGGCGCGAAAGCGUGGGGAGCAAACAGGAUUAGAUACCCGUGUAGUCCCUGUCUCUUAUAC
rnacentral:rRNA from 1 species